rnacentral:rRNA from 1 species
AGCUCCAAUAGCGUAUAUUAAUGUUGUUGCAGUUAAAAAGCUCGUAGUUGGAUUUCUGGUGGGAGCGGCCGGUCCGCCCCUCACGGGGUGUGAACUGAGCUGUCUCUGGCCAUCCUUGGCGAGAGCGGGCUGCGCAUUAAGUUGUGCGGUUCGGGAUCGCCAUCGUUUACUGUGAAAAAAUUAGAGUGUUUAAAGCAGGCGUUUGCUGUGAAUACAUUAGCAUGGAAUAAUAAGAUAGGACUUUGGUGCUAUUUUGUUGGUUUGUACACCGAGGUAAUGAUUAAUAGGGACAGUUGGGGGUAUUCGUAUUUAAUUGUCAGAGGUGAAAUUCUUGGAUUUAUGAAAGACGAACUACUGCGAAAGCAUUUACCAAGGAUGUUUUCA